rnacentral:misc_RNA from 1 species
GAUGAAGAACGUAGCGAAAUGCGAUACGUAAUGUGAAUUGCAGAAUUCAGUGAAUCAUCGAAUCUUUGAACGCACAUUGCGCCUGCCAGCACUCUGGCAGGCAUGCCUGUUCGAGCGUCAUUUCAACCAUCAAGCCCUAGGCUUGCGUUGGAGCCCUGCGGCUGCCGCUGGCCCCUAAAAGCAGUGGCGGGCUCGCUAUCACACCGAGUGCAGUAGAUUACUCUUCGCUCAGGGCGUGUGGCGGGUUCCAGCCGUGAAACCCCCUACUUCUCAAGGUUGACCUCGGAUCAGGUAGGAAUACCCGCUGAACUUAAGCAUAUCAAUAAGCGGAGGA